rnacentral:rRNA from 1 species
AUUGAACGCUGGCGGCAGGCCUAACACAUGCAAGUCGAGCGGAUGAAGGGAGCUUGCUCCUGGAUUCAGCGGCGGACGGGUGAGUAAUGCCUAGGAAUCUGCCUGGUAGUGGGGGAUAACGUCCGUAAACGGGCGCUAAUACCGCAUACGUCCUGAGGGAGAAAGUGGGGGAUCUUCGGACCUCACGCUAUCAGAUGAGCCUAGGUCGGAUUAGCUAGUUGGUUGGGUAAAGGCCUACCAAGGCGACGAUCCGUAACUGGUCUGAGAGGAUGAUCAGUCACACUGGAACUGAGACACGGUCCAGACUCCUACGGGAGGCAGCAGUGGGGAAUAUUGGACAAUGGGCGAAAGCCUGAUCCAGCCAUGCCGCGUGUGUGAAGAAGGUCUUCGGAUUGUAAAGCACUUUAAGUUGGGAGGAAGGGAAGUAAGUUAAUCCAUUGCUGUUUUGACGUUACCAACAGAAUAAGCACCGGCUAACUUCGUG